rnacentral:rRNA from 1 species
AGAUUGAACGCUGGCGGCAUGCCUUACACAUGCAAGUCGAACGGCAGCACGGGAGCAACCCUGGUGGCGAGUGGCGAACGGGUGAGUAAUAUAUCGGAACGUGCCCAGUCGUGGGGGAUAACGCAGCGAAAGCUGUGCUAAUACCGCAUACGAUCUCUGGAUGAAAGCGGGGGACUCGCAAGAGCCUCGCGCGAUUGGAGCGGCCGAUAGUCAGAUUAGCUAGUUGGUGGGGUAAAACGCCCACCGAAGGCGACGAUCUGUA